UACGUAGGGACCAAGCGUUGUUCGGAUUUACUGGGCGUAAAGGGCGCGUAGGCGGCUUAACAAGUCACUUGUGAAAUCUCCGGGCUUAACUCGGAACGGCCAAGUGAAACUGUCAAGCUAGAGUGCAGAAGGGGCAAUCGGAAUUCUUGGUGUAGCGGUGAAAUGCGUAGAUAUCAAGAGGAACACCUGAGGUGAAGACGGGUUGCUGGGCUAACACUGACGCUGAGGCGCGAAAGCCAGGGGAGCAAACGGG
rnacentral:rRNA from 1 species